UACGUAGGGAGCAAGCGUUGUCCGGAAUCACUGGGCGUAAAGCGCACGUAAGCGGAUCUUUAAGUCAGGGGUGAAAUCCUAGAGCUCAACUCCAGAACUGCCUUUGAUACUGGGGAUCUCGAGUCCGGGAGAGGUGAGUGGAACUGCGAGUGUAGAGGUGAAAUCCGUAGAUAUUCGCAAGAACACCAGUGGCGAAGGCGGCUCACUGGCCCGGUACUGACGCUGAGGUGCGAAAGCGUGGGGAGCAAACAGG
rnacentral:rRNA from 1 species